rnacentral:misc_RNA from 1 species
CAAGGACACUCUGGCCAGGACUGUAUCUGCAAGUUUUGGAUUGCUUUGCUGAAGGAAAGCUAGAAGGAAUCUCCUUCUGGAGUUUGUAAAGUUUUCCUGUGGAAAUGCAAACCAAGAAAAGAAUUGCUGGAAGAACUACUUCAAGAGAACUUAUCAGUUCCAGGAUUUCAAGAACUCAGAAGAAAGCUCCUGAUAAUGUACAAGCUAACCAAAAGAAAGUCACUGAGAUAAUUACAUCUUCAGCUAGAAAGCAGAAAUGUGCAGGUAGUCUUCAAAAGAAAAAUGAGGAGCCUGUUGCAGCUACAAAAUUGAAUACUACAUACAGCUCAGGGCAUAAUGAGACAUCUAAUGCUGCGUCUUUGUGUGAUCAUGAGGGUUGUAAUGAGGAACCUUGUAUAUUCUCUCCUGCUUUUCGCGUAUCUAAAAUUGCUGGAGGGGAAAUUGCCAAUGGAGUCAAUUUCAUUAAAUUGUUUCAAAGUGGGGACCAGAAAUUACACCAGGAGGGUAGAACAUGCUACUCAGAAGUUGAUAUGCAGGAUUGCCAUGGUACUCAAAACAAUUUAGAAUCUACUUCAGGAGAUGAUGAAAAGGAGACAUGCCCUAAUUACAUAGGAGAUGAUCCAAACACAUCAUCCACAAUGUUUUCUGUAGAUACAAAUACUGUGAAUUCUCCUUCUAAUGUAGAUUCAGAAGGAGCUGGCCUUUCGUCUGAAGUGUCAGCUAUAUAUCUUGCCAUGAAGAACUCAAAAUUGGAAUGUGUUGAUGAGUAUGAUCAAGAUUGCAUGUCAACUAAGGAGGAUGAUGAUUAUGAGGAAUAUGAUGAUUUUGAUCCAUACUUAUUCAUAAAGAACUUGCCUGAGUUGUCAUCAGUUGUCCCCACAUUUCGGCCAAUGCUGCUACCUAAACAAACACGAAGCUGCCCUCCUAUUACUCUUGUUUUGGACUUGGAUGAGACUUUGGUGCACUCCACACUAGAACUUUGUGAUGAUGCAGACUUCACAUUUCCUGUGAACUUUAACCUUCAGGAGCAUACAGUCUAUGUUCGAUGUCGUCCUUACCUCAAAGAUUUCAUGGAGAAAGUUUCCACGCUUUUUGAGAUCAUUAUAUUUACAGCUAGUCAAAGUAUUUAUGCAGAGCAGCUUCUAAAUGUGCUUGAUCCAAAGAGGAAGAUAUUCCGCCAUCGUGUUUACCG